GCCUCUGUAGCUCAGUUGGUUAGAGCGCUGCACCGGAAUCGCAGGGCCGUAGGUUCAAUUCCUACCAGUGGACA
rnacentral:tRNA from 1 species